rnacentral:piRNA from 1 species
CCGUGGAGAGGAACAAUUCUGAG